rnacentral:tRNA from 1 species
GAAGAUCGGAGGUUAAAUUCCUCCCUAGCGCCCAGAAAAGAG